rnacentral:tRNA from 1 species
GUUUUAAUAGUUUAAUAAAAACACUGGUCUUGUAAACCUGAAAUGCUUAGCUUAAAACU